UAUGUAUAACAUUCCAAAUUGAAAAUUUGGGAUGUUACAGACUCACGGGAAGAUAUCACAACACAACUCUAGACACAAAUCAAAAUAAUACAAGCAUUAUAUUACAAGCCAGGGGCCUCGUGGGCUCGAAUACAAGCUCGAUACACAAGAGUCAGCGGAAGAAACAAUAUCUGAGUACAGACAUAAGUUAAACAAGGAUGCCUUAAUAAGGCUAGCGCAAAAGCAACACAAUCAAAGAGGCAAGGCCUCCUGCCUGGGACCUCCUAACUACUCCUGGACGUCGGUGGUCUUCACGUAGUAGCAUCCAUCGGCGGUGGCAUCUGGCUCCAAGGAUCCACCAUCCGGUUGCAUCAGUCGGAAAGAAGAAAGAAGGGGGAAAUGGGUAGCAAAGCAACCGUGAGUACUCAUCCAAAGUACUCACAAGCAUCAGAUCUAUACUAAGUAUGCAUUUGUAUCAAAUGGAAGGGUUGUAUCUGUGGACUGAACUGCAGUAUACCAGAAUAGAGGGGGAAAGCCUAGCCUAUCAAAGACUAGCAUCUUCACGCAGCUCCAAGCAUCUUGCAGCAUGUAGAAGAGUAAAGAAUAGCAGUUUAUAAUUAACAAACAUGUUGUAACAUUAAUGCCCAGAGAUCCUUCCUCGACUCCCUGCGAGAAAGCAAUCCCGGAGCCACAUAUCCAAGUAUCCAUUUAUAGUUGUAUAAGAUCAGGAUAUAGGUCUGAAUGUCCGUUACCGUGGACACGGCUAUUAAUAGAUAAUCUCCCCUGCAGGGGUGCACCAUGUUUGCCAACAUGCUCGAUCACGUUGGCCGGACACACCUUUCUGAGGUCAAUGCCCGGCCUCGGAAGAUCAACAUGUCGCAGCCCUACCUAGGCUCAGCAGAGAGGUCCCCGCCGGUCUACAUCCUAAGCACUCCGGGGUCUGGGCCCAUCGCCUGUUGCACUCCGGAUCGUUGCGUACAGGGCGGGUCCAGGCUCCACCACUACAGGAUGGUGCCGGCCCAGCUGUGCCGCAUCGCUGAACUGGACGUCUGACAAAGCUUCGGCUGAUAAUGCGACGUCGAGGCCCAUAAUUAUUCUCACGUGGUCGUUGGUGCGUAAAGGCCAGAGGCCAACUCAGAACAAAUACCCAAACCAUAGUGUAUUAUUAGCUUGCGGAGACGAGCAGAGACUCCCAAUCGAAAGUGACCCCGUCGCCCCAUCUCGUGGACUUACGACAAGGGCCUAGAAUGCCCGGCCGUGCCACGUAACCAUCUUGCGGGUGCUCUCCGGGCCCGCCCAACUUUCACCAAGGUCUCAAGUAAAGUCAAGGUAACUGUGUGUCCAGACAUCAAGGGGAAAACCCAAGGAAUCACCCCCGGUGGAUUCCACUCAAUGUAAUCAUCAAGGUGAACAUAAGAGAGACCACCCUCGAGGUUCACACUUGAGGUGUUGAACGACAGAUCCGUAUCGGGAAUGGUGAAAGAGGAAAUCACCCUCGAUGACCAUGACCGAAUAGCUACACUACAGAAUUGUCAUCAAGAGUGUGUUAUGAGGGAUCACCCUCGACACUCGAUAGUAGCUCCGCAGAGUCGAGCAACAAAAGGGGCGUGAUGUGAUGUGAGGUGUCGGGCUCUGGUUGUCGAUCACGCUGAUCAAGGCGUUGAUGAUGAAGCAGGGGCAACAAGGACAAGUGGGGGUCACUGAUGGAUCACUAACCAACCGAUACUAAGUAAUUUACGAUAAGCAGGUAGGGUACAACAUCAGGUACAAAAGCAGGCUAUGCAUCAGAAUAGGAGCAAUCAAUAACAGUAGCAAAAUCUAAUGCAAGCAUGAGAGAAUAGAAAUAGGUGAUAUCGGGAUGAUCAAAGGGGGGGGGGCUUGCCUGGUUGCUCAGACAAGAAGUAGGGUCGUCGUCGACUUAGUCGAUCACAGGGG
rnacentral:lncRNA from 1 species